rnacentral:lncRNA from 10 species
GAGAUACAUCCUAUCAAUACCUAGUUUAUUGAGAGUUUUUAGCAUGAAGGGUUGUUGAAUUUUGUCGAAGGCCUUUUCUGCAUCUAUUGAGAUAAUCAUGUUGUUUUUGUCUUUGGUUCUGUUUACAUGAUGGAUUACGUUUAUUGAUUUGUGUAUGUUGAACCACCCCUGCAUCCCAUGGAGGAAGCCAACUUGAUCAUAGUGGAUAAGCUUUUUGAUGUGCUACUGGAUUCGGUUUGCCAGUAUUUUAUUGAGGAUUUUUGCAUCUAUGUUCAUUGGGGAUAUUGGUCUAAAAUUCUCUUUUUUUGUUGUGUCUCUGCCAGGCUUUGGUAUCAGGAUGAUGUUGGCCUCAUAAAAUGAAUUAGGGAGGAUUCCCUCUUUUUCUAUUGAUUGGAAUAGUUUCAGAAGGAAUGGUACCAGCUCCUCUUUGUACCUCUGGUAGAAUUUGG